UUCGGGGGUUCCUGGGUGUCACGCAGAAUCUCGGUGGGACCUCCAAAUGAAAGAACCUAGUGGGGAAACCCCCACUCAAUUCCCGUUUGGUGUGCACCCAAGAAUCACGAACAGACCA
rnacentral:pre_miRNA from 7 species